rnacentral:tRNA from 1 species
GUCGUGACAGUAUAACGUGUAGUACGUUACAUUGUGGCUGCAAAGGUUCAGGUUCGACUCCUGAUCGCGACA